rnacentral:rRNA from 1 species
CAGCCGUAAACUAUGCGCGUUAGGUGUACUGGUGACCACGAGUCACCGGGGUGCCGAAGGGAAACCGUGAAACGUGCCGCCUGGGAAGUACGGUCGCAAGGCUGAAACUUAUAGGAAUUGGCGGGGGAGCACCACAACGGGUGGAGCCUGCGGUUUAAUUGGACUCAACGCCGGAAAUCUCACCGGAUAGGACAGACAUAUGAUAGUCGGGCUGAAGACUCUACUUGAUGAUCUGAGAGGAGGUGCAUGGCGUCAGUGACU